CUAGCUCUGUGCACUCAGCAGUGGGUCUACAGCCAGAGCAAUAAGAGGGUCUCAGGUCUGCCUCCACAAGCUCAAGUGUGUUGGUAGUGAUGGGAACCAUGUCCUGUCAGGAACUGGCACCUGAGGGUGGUGCAGGGGGAGGGGCAAGGAGACCUUCAGUCUCCUUGAUGCUACGUCUUGAUGCUACAUCUGCCUUCAGUUGUAGCAUCAGCAGAAAUCCACACGUAGCUGGCCAUUCUCUUGGUCUCAGAGGGCAAGCCCACUGUUUUUUCUGGUUCUCAAAGGUAGUGCCCUCCUUUUCCCUCCACGUUGUAAUGUCUGUGCCCUACACUGCAGGACACCCAGGGAGUUAAAAUUACUGUUGUGCUGCUAGGGUUUGUGAGGCAGCCUCCCCCCAGACAAGUGCAUUGGAAUGUCUGUGGAGUACAAGAGACUGGGGAUAUGCAGGGAUUUUUCUUUUAAACUACUGGAGCAAACCAAAUUUGGACAGUAGUCUCCUUCUUAAAAUGGUUCCUGGGUGUAGCACCCUGGGGCUUCACGGGAAAUUACGUGAAAAUUCUUUUCAAGGCAAGGAUGAGGUGUAGACUUCAGAUUACUUAUGUCAGUGGGUUGAUGCCUGUGAGGUAUUUGAAUUUUCCAGUAGGUGAGACUGCGAACAUCCACACUGAUGAGAGUUUACUGGGACACUCAUCCACUCACUUUCUCCGACAGAGGGGAGACUCCUUUCUCCCUAGGCUGUGGAAUCGAGGUGGUAGAUGAUGAGGUAUUUUGUUUCUCUUGUUAAACUGUUCCAGGACUCUCCAUUUUAAAAGGUGCCAGUCUCUCCCUUGCUGAUUUCUAGAGUUAUGCCAUGAUCAUUCACCUCAAGGGGUAUAGUCAUUUGUACCCCUUGACUGUUUGGUUUUGUGUGUGUGAUGGAAGAGGUGAGUGCUGGUUGUCUGUUCAGCCAUCUUGGAUUACUCCCAAUGUAUUUCCUAAUUUUCUCUGUACGUGUUCUGUCAAUCACUGAUAGUUGAUCAGAUAAGUACUCAACAAUUAUUGUCGAAGUGGCUAUGCCCCUUCCAUUCUCUGAGUUUUGCUUCAUAUGUUUUGGGGCCUUGUUGUUCAGUGCAUGUGCGUUCUUAAUUGUUAUAUUUUCCUGAUCAUUAUGAAAAAAACAAUCACUUUUUUUAUGUCUUUUCUUAGAUAAAAUAAAGUGUGACUACUCACUCAAGUUCUAUUAUGUUCUGUUAUGUUUCACAUUAGCAUUAUUUAUCUUUUUAUCCUUUUAUUUUGUCCAGUUUGGACUUUUGAAUUUAAAGUUUGACUCUAUGGCUAUCAUAUAGUUGUAUCUUCUUUUCCUAAAAAUUGAGUCUGCCUUUGCUUUGCGUUGUUUAAUCCAGUCACAUCAUCGGUGGUGUUGAUGUGGUUGGAUUUCUACUUACCAUUCUGUGAUUUGCUUUCCGAAUGUCUCAUCUGUUUUGUUCCUUCCUGUUUUUUUUUCUUUGUAAUAAUUUAUGUGUGUACUAUCUUAAUUUUGUUGUUGCUGUUGUUGUUUUUUAAAAACACUAUAUUUUGGCUUUACUUUCUUAGUGGCCAAUAUGGAUUAUGAUACACAUUUCAAUUUGUCAAGCUUUACUUCAUUUAAAAAGUUCCAAGAUGGCGAUGACAGACGUGCACCAUAGUCUUGCAUCUCCAUGAAUCUGAAGUAAAGCCUAAGGCAAAGAAGAUCUGGAGGAUUGUGGUUCGAGAGCAGCUGUGGCAAAAGUCAACUCCUGUUUGAGGAUUCUGUCUCAGGAAUGUUUAUCCGAAGUGUUGCCUGAAGUUGCUUAUCAUUUCAUCUCAUUCUCCCUGUUUUCCACAACUCAGAGACAACAUGAAGUGUUUCCGGGAGUUGCUUAUCAUUUCCUCUCAGUCUCCCUGUAUCUCACUAGCAGAGAACGUCUUGCUGUGCAGACCAGGUUGGGACACCACCAAGCCCAGUGUGUUAUUGAGACUCUCCUAUGACAAAGUACCUGACAGAAACAAUUUACAGGAGGAAAGAUUUAUUUUGGCUCAUGGCUUCAGAGAUUUUGGCCCAUGGUCACCUGGCCCCAUUGUUGCAUGUCUGAGGUGAAGAAGCCUCUGCCACAUGCCCCUGCUCCCAUGAUGCUGUGCCUCACCACAGGUCCAGAAACAGCAGCGCCACAGUGAUGGACUGAAUCCCCUGAAAGUGUGAGCCAAAAUGAACCCUUCCUUCUCAGUGCUGUUCUCUUAGAAAUUAUACUUCUUUGAAAAACUUUUCAAAGUGGUUGCCUGAAAUUUGAAAUACACAUAUACAACUAAUCUAAGUUCACUUUUAAAUGUACUAUACCACUUCAAAAGUAUAGUGCAAGUGCCUAACGUAGCAAAAUAUUUCUGAUUCCUCCUUCCUGUCCCUUGUGUCACUUUCAUUUAUUUCACUUGCACAUAAACUGUGAUCAUUGAAUAUAUUCUUAUUAUUAUUAGUUUAGGUAAAUUUCUUAAAUCAGUUAAGUUAUUU